ACGAUGAAUGAUCACCCGAUCUGGACCAAUGUACAUGCUGUUGAGGUCACCUAAUACAAAUAAAAUGGCUCGAUAACACUUGUUUCAUUCAACUUCUGUUGACCAGAGCCGGAGGAAAAGAUGCAUAUGAAGGAGCUUGUUUUCUGUCUUAUCUUACUAAUGCAAGCAUCUGGCCCACUUUUGGCCCAGACACAGGCCCCAGAACAACCUGACGCUCCAGGAAUACUGCAGAGGCUGACAGAGAAAGCAAGAGAAGCCAAAGCUAAAGUCCAGGAUUAUGGGGGUGCAGCUCUGGGCUUUCUUGGUUCUUAUUACGAAGACCACAUCCAACCAGUGACUGACAGAUACACCGAA